GCAUGCAAGUCGAACGAGAAUUUACUCUUCGGAGUAAAGGAAAGUGGCGGACGGGUGAGUAACGCGUAGGAAUCCACCUUUUAGUGGGGAAUAGCCUCGGGAAACCGGGAUUAAUACCGCAUGUGGUCGCAAGACCAAAGACUUCGGUCGCUAAAAGAGGAGCCUGCGUCCUAUCAGGUUGUUGGUGAGAUAAUGGCUCACCAAGCCUAUGACGGGUAGCCGGUGUGAGAGCACGAUCGGCCACAAGGUCACUGAGACACGGGACCUACACCUACGGGUGGCAGCAACUGGGAAUAUUGCGCAAUGGGCGAAAGCCUGACGCAGCGACACCGCGUGUGGGAUGAAGCUCCUCGGAGUGUAAACCACUGUGGCAAGGGAAGAAUUAAUGACUGUACCUUGCUAGAAAGCACCUGCUAACUACGUGCCAGAAGCCUCGGUAAUACGUAGGGUGCAAGCGUUAUCCGGAUUUAUUGGGCGUAAAGGGUUCCGUCGGUGGUCUUCUAAGUUUCAUCUUUAAUACUGGGGCUCAACCCCAGAUACAGGGUGAAAAACUAGUUGACUUGAGUUUGUUCGGGGUAACUGGAACUCUCGGUGUAGGGGUGAAAUCCGUAGAUAUCGAGAGGAACGCCAAUCGCGAAGGCAGGUUACUAGGACAUACUGACGCUUAUGGACGAAAGCUUGGGUAGCAAAAGGGAUUAGAGACCCCUGUAGUCCAAGCUGUAAACGAUGCUCGCUAGCUGGUUGGUCUUCGGAUUGACUGGCGUAAGCUAACGCGUUAAGCGAGCCGCCUGGGAAUUACGAUCGCAAGAUUAAAACUCA
rnacentral:rRNA from 1 species